AGGGUGAGCCUAGGGUGGAGUGUGAGGGCUGCAGGGAAGCUUUCUCUUGAUUGCAGGGUAAGAGAAGAAGAAAUACAUACCUUGGUGACAGAUAAACAGAGGGGUGUGUGUGCUGUGUGAAGCCAUCUGAACUGACCAGCCAGUGCAGUUCACCAGGUAGCGACAGAAUUGCUCUGUGACAACUUUAUAAAGAUGAGGUGAAAUCUGAAUAAAAAGACUGUCACUGAGCUAAGCAGCCUGUGAAGAGCCCAAAAGAGCAUUAAUGGGAUUAUUUUCUUCUUUGCCAUUAUACCAGACUCUAAAACUAUAUGCUAGGUUUGACCCCCCAACAAUAGGAGAAGUUCAACAAGAAGGCCUUGAUCCCAUAAGAAGCUGUGAGGAGGCAGAUCCCUGCAUCAACACUGAGCCACACGGAUGUCAAUGGCACUCUAUGUAGAUGGUAGAGUCAGCCUGCAGGAUCAGACCAAAAUAUCAGAAAUGAAAGAUGCUGUCUCUGAAAUGGAAGAUUUUUGCUUCCUACUGGUGAAUGAUGCCAAAGAGACUGAUAGCCAUCAGAAUACCAGAAAACAAUUUUGAAGACUAUACUAAUGCUCAGAUGUAUACCUGAAAACUACAAGACAUCAUUACAGGGCCAUUAUACAAUGCAAAGUCACUUCAAGAACUGUUGUUUCCCAGCAGGCCAGAACAG